rnacentral:lncRNA from 1 species
AUGCGAGAUGCGUUUCGGGACUUGACCGCAGCAUCAUCUUCAAAAAUCAGGAGGAAAAAAAAGAAAAUACGGCCGCUUAUUGUGAUAUCGCUCCAACAAACCGACGCAAAACAGCCGAGCGUGAGGGCGCGCAAGCCGUCACCUGGGGCUGCGGCGUCCCGUCAUCCCGUCAUCACGCGGAGGAAUCGCAAUAGGUGUAAACAAGGAGGAAGUGAGGAGGAGGAGCUUCUGACUGAUUAAUAGUUCAUCAUUCAAUCACGAGCUCAAUUGACCUUCUGCACAUGCAGCUUCGUCGAGGCGUUGUGGGAGACAUCAAAAGUGCAUUUACUACUUUACAAGUAUGUCACAUUUAUUACAACAGGGUCAUGAUAUAAUGACGAGAGGGGGAAAUAAAUGUGACCUGUGGGGAGUCUGCUCUGAAGUUCAUCCGAUGAUGAUGACUUCAUUUUUUUGAGGGAAAUAUUGACGAGCGCAUAAUCUUCUUGUAAUCCAUUAUAAUGCAGUUUAAUGAAAGUAUUUAGAGGAAUUCCCAUUUUGCAUCAAAUGUGACUGAUUUAAAAUAGGAAAAGAAAAGAAAAAAUGCCCUUUACAAAAUAUUAAAAUCUGGAUUUGCACCAAAACGUAACCACUUGUUUCCUGGCACUUUUCAUUUUUCUACUUCAUUUAAUUGGAAACUGUUGACAGGUUUUUUUUUGUUGUUCUUUUUUUUUUACUCUGCUCCUGUAACAAAAAAAAGGCAAAACAAUAAUAGCAACCACGGUUUGUCCGCAGCCUGAAAAUAAGACGGUUCUUUUAUUUUGUAAUUUUUUUUCUAUCAGUGGAUGCUGAAACAAAUUAGCAGAGACACAAACACGAUCAUUUUUAUUUAUUUGAAUGUUUUUGCUUUGUUUGCACUCCUGUGACAACAGUGACUUUGCUCACAUGUUGAGGGGUUAGGAAUUCACUAUGAUUAGUCAGCAAGGUGAACAAUUAUUAAAUUUCACUCAGACGUCCUUAGACGUCAAUUCCAUAAACAUCAUAAGGAUUCAUGCGAUUGCACGUCCG